GCCACGGUAGUGUAGUCGGUUAGCAUACCUCCCAAAAGUCAGCCUGUAGGUGACACUGUUGUGAGGGAGGAGACUGGGGUUCAAAUCCCCACCGAGGCG